AACAAACGCUGGCGGCGUGCCUAACACAUGCAAGUCGUACGAGAAAGUCGGCUUCGGCCGAUGAGUACAGUGGCGCACGGGUGAGUAACGCGUGGGUAAUCUGCCCCCCGGUCAGGAAUAACCCGCCGAAAGGCGGGCUAAUACCCGAUAACACUGACGCUCUGCGGAGCGUCUUUCAAAGAAGGCCUCUGUUUACAAGCUUUCGCCGGAGGAUGAGCCCGCGUACCAUUAGCUAGUUGGCAGGGUAAUGGCCUACCAAGGCAACGAUGGUUAGCUGGUCUGAGAGGAUGGCCAGCCACACUGGAACUGAGACACGGUCCAGACUCCUACGGGAGGCAGCAGUGAGGAAUCUUGCGCAAUGGGGGAAACCCUGACGCAGCAACGCCGCGUGAGUGAGGAAGGCCUUCGGGUCGUAAAGCUCUGUCAGAUGGGAAGAAAUGGAUGGGGGCUAAUAUUGUCCAUCCUUGACGGUACCAUCAGAGGAAGCACCGGCUAACUCCGUG
rnacentral:rRNA from 1 species